rnacentral:rRNA from 1 species
UACAGAGGUCUCAAGCGUUGUUCGGAUUCAUUGGGCGUAAAGGGUGUGUAGGUGGCGCCGUAAGUCGGGUGUGAAAUUUCGGAGCUUAACUCCGAAACUGCAUUCGAUACUGCGGUGCUUGAGGACUGGAGAGGAGACUGGAAUUCAUGGUGUAGCAGUGAAAUGCGUAGAGAUCGGGAAGAACAUCAGUGGCGAAGGCGGCCUGCUGGGCUGUUGCUGACGCUGAGGCGCGACAGCGUGGGGAGCAAACGAGG